GAUAGCACAUAACAUAUAAUUUAUCCAUAUAUUGUUCAUAUGUAUGUAGAUAUAAGUCCAUAUAUCUUACAAUCUCCCACUUGGAUGAGAUAUACAAAUAUAUGUACAAACCUUAUAUGAUACAAAAUAACCUUAGCUGCGCAAGAUUGCUAUCACAAUAAAAUUGUCAUGAACAAUCCGGUCCAUCAAUCAUACCAACAUAGGAACUAAGUGCUCUUUGUUACUCAUUCGUAACUAGAACAGGCAUAGAUCACGUAUAUCAAUAUAACCAACGACAUGGAUCAAGUGUAGGUAUGUAGCAUGAAAAUAACAUAUAGUAUGGUCAAUAUAAUGUCUAUUUCCAACUGGUUCUCUUUAUUGAGAUCAAUCAUAUACUGUAAGAAUACAAAAACUUUAAAACUGAAUAUCUGCAGAUAUAACCGAAUUACUGAAUUUCUGAAUAUAAU
rnacentral:lncRNA from 1 species